UCAGUAACACUUGUCCUACAGGGACUGUGGUAGCCACAGCGGCUUUGGAAAAGAAUGGAGUUCCCGGUAUUUCUGGCUGGCACGCGCCUCCUGCUUUUGACAGGGGACAAGGGACGAGGGAGAGGUCCUGGCUUGGCAAGGACGUGGCCCGCCUCCAGGGGGAUCUGGCGGAGCCAGCGGUGACAGCAGAAGGGCAUGUUGACAGAGUGACUCACUUUCCAGGAGGGGAGGAGACAGCGCCCUCCCCGCCUUCCAGGAAGAGGCGAGGGCACACAAAGGCACUAAGAAGAAGACGUUGAGCAUCCAUCCACCCUGGACCAAGAAGUCGAUUCCAGAAGAAGACGGCCAUGUGAACAUGGACUGAUAGGGCUCAAAGUCAGGAAAUGACAAGGAUUGCCAGAAGUCACAGGAUUCUCUCCCAGAGCCUUCAGAGGGAGUGUGGCUUCGCCAACACCGUGAAUUUGGACAGUACCUUUCUGUGGUCUUAAGCCACCCCAUCUGUGGUUGUUACAGCAGCUUUGGGACACUAAUACCAGCCCAACCUCUGGUUUCUGUCCGCUAGAUGACAACCCUCCUCCCCCUUCAGUUAUAACAAACAAAAAUGUCUCCAGAUCGUCCCUCCCCUAGGCCCUACCCCCAGCCACUGCUCUCACAGGGUGCAUAGGACGAGAAGAAAGAGCCGAGUGGGAUGAACCUGGGCUAGAAUUCCAGCCCCACCCGGAAUAGCUAUGUGACCUGGAGAAAGUUGCUCAACUUCUCUGCAGCUCCCUCUCCUCCCAAGUGACAUGGGGUUGAGAAGGUACCAGCAUCUCCUCGAACCACCAGGCCGAUGCCGUGAGAUAAGGUGUGGGACGUGCUCAGCUCAGCACGGCGUCUGGCGUGUAGGUAGCGCUCAGUAAAUAGAAUCUCAACCAAACGUUGUGAUACGUGCUUUUAUUGAGCAACAAUAUUACCUGAGUGAUGAUAAAUAUGUUAGGAAAUAACAAUGGCAAUUGGCAGUGCUGUUCUUUAAAGCUCGCAAGCUGAGUCAGGUUUCCACGUGAUCAUCCGCUAUGAACGGCUGCCAAACCGACCGGCCAGGAGCUGCUUCUCAGAAGGCAUGACAUUUCCUGCUGUGGACCGCGUGGUCUUUCCCCACAAUUCCAGGUAUUGCACUGUGAUUCCCCUGGAUCUUCCUUAAAGCUGAGUUGGAAUGUACCCCGUGAAUCACAGAAGGACGCCUCAAGAAGUCGAAUUAAAGAGUCACAUUUAUUGCAAUCCAGGACUAUGAGGGGUCAUUCCCAAAUCUCAUAGCGAUAAGAUGGUGGCAAAACCAGACUUAUAUAGGCAAAGAUCACAAAGGUA